rnacentral:rRNA from 1 species
GAUUAACGCUGGCGGCGUGCCUAACACAUGCAAGUCGAGCGGCAGCGAGUUUUCAACUGCAUUCUGGAAGAUGCUGGUUGAAAGAGAAGACUUAUUCAAGAAUUUUGUGUAAAAAGUCGGCGAGCGGCGGACGGCUGAGUAACGCGUGGGAACGUACCCCAAAGUGAGGGAUAACGCAUCGAAAGGUCUGCUAAUACCGCAUAUGGCCUUCGGCAUAAAGCCUUCGGGCGCUCUGGGAACGGCCUGCGUACGAUUAGAUAGUUGGUGGGGUAAUGGCCUACCAAGUCGACGAUCAGUACCUGGUUUGGGAGGAUGAUCAGUCAGACUGGAACUGAGACACGGUCCAGACUCCUACGGGAGGCAGCAGUGAGGAAUCUUCCACAAUGGGCGAAAGCCUGAUGGAGCCACGCCGCGUGCAGGAUGAGGGCCUUCGGGUUGUAAACUGCUUUUAUAAGUGAGGAUUAUGACAGUAACUUAUGAAUAAGGUUCGGCUAACUACGCG